rnacentral:rRNA from 1 species
GAUGAACGCUGGCGGCGUGCCUAAUACAUGCAAGUCGAGCGAACAGACGAGGAGCUUGCUCCUCUGACGUUAGCGGCGGACGGGUGAGUAACACGUGGAUAACCUACCUAUAAGACUGGGAUAACUUCGGGAAACCGGAGCUAAUACCGGAUAAUAUAUUGAACCGCAUGGUUCAAUAGUGAAAGAUGGUUUUGCUGUCACUUAUAGAUGGAUCCGCGCCGCAUUAGCUAGUUGGUAAGGUAACGGCUUACCAAGGCAACGAUGCGUAGCCGACCUGAGAGGGUGAUCGGCCACACUGGAACUGAGACACGGUCCAGACUCCUACGGGGGCAGCAGUAGGGAAUCUUCCGCAAUGGGCGAAAGCCUGACGGAGCAACGCCGCGUGAGUGAUGAAGGUCUUCGGAUCGUAAAACUCUGUUAUUAGGGAAGAACAAAUGUGUAAGUAACUAUGCACGUCUUGACGGUACCUAAUCAGAAAGCCACGGCUAACUACGUG